GCCGCCUUUGCAGAUUGCCUAGCUGGUAGCCCUCCCAUGAAACCACGCCGAGAUCUUCAGGUGCAACUAUGUCCCGGGCUGGCCGUGCACUACGACCCCUGAAGGGCAUCGGGUUGGGGAAGGCUGGGCUAAGCAUCUGUGUUCAUGAACAUCACGCGGAGAAAAAGGGGUCCGUCUGCACGAAAUGCACCGUUCAUCUGCAGAGCGUAGUUGUGCCACUGGAUGAUAAUGGAGUUACAGGAAUAUUGAAGGAGGAUAAAAAGAUUGUGGAGAAGCUGAAUGAAUUCUUUUCAUUGUCUUUACUGAAGAAGUUAUUUGACAGACUUGGCAGGAGAACAAUCAUCGUUCCCCACGACUGGUCUCCAAUGGCAUACCGCUUCUGAACCUGGAUGCUCCUUAGAGCUACUCACCACUGAUAAACCGAAAUGGAGUGAAUUUGUCUAAAGCCAUUUAAGUUCAUCAUUAUACCUUGGAGAAGUAGGAGAAAGAUGGAUGCAGCACUCUGGGGAGCGAACUCUCAGAUGGGCCAUGUGACUGGAUGCAUGAUGAAGCGAUACAUGAAUGAUGAAUAUAUGCUGCAGAUCAGCUGAUCUGGAUCAGAACAUGUUUUUUGAAGACUGAACACCAAACAGCUAAAGAAGAAUCAGGCAGGACGCGGGUGAAUCCUGUUCAGAUGGGAUUCCAUGUGACGAGGGGAAAAUAUGUGAUUUUCUGGAAUCGGCUGUCUGGCCAAGAAAGAGAUGAUGCUUUCAGCAAUCUU